rnacentral:rRNA from 1 species
UGCCGGCGACCGGCGGACGGGUGCGUAACGCGUAUGUAACCUACCUUUGACAGGGGGAUAACAUCGAGAAAUUGGUACUAAUACCCCAUAACAUCACCGGAGGCAUCUUCGGUGGUUGAAAACUCAGGUGGUCAGAGAUGGACAUGCGUUGUAUUAGCUAGUUGGUGAGGUAACGGCUCACCAAGGCGACGAUACAUAGGGGGACUGAGAGGUUAACCCCCCCACAUUGGUACUGAGACACGGACCAAACUCCUACGGGAGGCAGCAG